UAGUCCACGCCGUAAACGAUGUGUACUAGAUCGAUGAUGGUCUGACCUAUUGUCGGUCGCAGAGAAAUUAUUAAGUACACCGCCUGGGGAGUACGGUCGCAAGGCUAAAACUCAAAGGAAUUGACGGGGGCUCACACAAGCGGUGGAGCAUGUUGCUUAAUUCGAAGCAACGCGAAGAACCUUACCGGGGUUUGACAUGCACGGAUUACCUUUACGAAAGUAGAGUUACGCUCGCAAGAGUGGAACGUGCACAGGUGCUGCAUGGCUGUCGUCAGCUCGUGCUGUGAAGUGUCGGGUUAAGUCCCUUAACGAGCGCAACCCUUGUCGCUAGUUGCCAGCGAGUCAACGUCGGGGACUCUAGCGAGACUGCCCGGUGUCAAACCGGAGGAAGGUGGGGAUGACGUCAAGUCAGCAUGGCCCUUAUGUCCUGGGAUGCAAACGUGCUACAAUGGCCUAUACAGAGCGAUGCGAUAUCGCGAGAUGGAGCAAAUCGAA
rnacentral:rRNA from 1 species